UACGUAGGGGGCGAGCGUUGUCCGGAUUUAUUGGGCGUAAAGAGCGUGUAGGCGGCCAAGCAGGUCCGUUGUGAAAACUGAAGGCUCAACCUUCAGAGGUCGAUGGAAACCGCUUGGCUAGAGUCCGGAAGAGGAGAGUGGAAUUCCUGGUGUAGCGGUGAAAUGCGCAGAUAUCAGGAAGAACACCCGUGGCGAAAGCGGCUCUCUGGGACGGUACUGACGCUGAGACGCGAAAGCGUGGGGAGCGAACAGG
rnacentral:rRNA from 1 species